CUUCCAGCUGAGAACAUGUUCAUAAUUAAUUUGUCCUUAAAUACACGUGUUGCAAUCUAUUUUUAUUUAUGGAUUGCAACAAUUGUUGCAAGCAUUCAUGCAACAACAUAUAUGAUCCAAAGUAAAACCCCAGGUAUUUCAAUGUGUAACUUUCGAGUAUUACGCCUACCGGAUUUCUCAGAAACAAAAAUCCAGUGUGAAACAAUCCGAUGUCCUCAAUUAUUGCGUGAUAUCAAUAUAUUUCAUAAAAUCAAAGAUAUUCUCAUCGAAGAUAAACAAAUUACGCAAGGAAGCACCGCGGUAAUCAAAUCCGGAGGACGUAGUUACCCAUCGAUAGAAAUAGAAGUAUGUACGCCACCGCAACACGGCUACAGUUACGAAAUUUGUAUUAAUCGACACAUUGAAUCAUUUGAUAAGAAAAUUAUUUAAUGUUGUUUCGACUAUGAGUUGUAUUAAUGUGCCGGUUUGAUAUAAAGUAAUUGAUAUGAA